rnacentral:rRNA from 1 species
UACAGAGGUCUCAAGCGUUGUUCGGAUUCAUUGGGCGUAAAGGGUGCGUAGGCGGCGCGGUCAGUCGGGUGUGAAAUUUCGGAGCUUAACUCCGAAACGGCAUUCGAUACUGCGGUGCUUGAGGACUGGAGAGGAGACUGGAAUUCAUGGUGUAGCAGUGAAAUGCGUAGAGAUCAUGAGGAAGACCAGUGGCGAAGGCGGAUCGCUGGACAGUUCCUGACACUGAGGCACGAAGGCCAGGGGAGCAAACGGG